rnacentral:rRNA from 1 species
UACAGAGGUGGCAAGCGUUGUUCGGAAUUACUGGGCGUAAAGGGCGCGUAGGCGGCCUUCUAAGUCGAACGUGAAAUCCCUGGGCUCAACCCAGGAACUGCGUCCGAUACUGAAAGGCUUGAAUCCGGGAGAGGGAUGCGGGAAUUCCAGGUGUAGCGGUGAAAUGCGUAGAUAUCUGGAGGAACACCGGUGGCGAAGGCGGCAUCCUGGACCGGUAUUGACGCUGAGGCGCGAAAGCCAGGGGAGCAAGCGGG